rnacentral:rRNA from 1 species
AGGAUGAACGCUGGCGGUCUGCUUAACACAUGCAAGUCGAACGGAGUAGCAAUACUUAGUGGCGGACGGGUGAGUAACGCGUGAGAAUCUACCUUCAGGACGGAGACAACAGUUGGAAACGACUGCUAACCCCCGAUGUACUGAAAAGGCAAAUAUUUAUAGCCUGAAGAAGAGCUCGCGUCCGAUUAGCUAGUUGGAGAGGUAAAAGCUCACCAAGGCGACGAUCGGUAGCUGGUCUGAGAGGACGAUCAGCCACACUGGGACUGAGACACGGCCCAGACUCCUACGGGAGGCAGCAGUGGGGAAUUUUCCGCAAUGGGGGCAACCCUGAACGAGCAACGCCGCGUGCAGGAAGAAGGUUUUCGGAUCGUAAACUGCUUUUCUCGGGGAAGAGAAUGGACGGUACCCGAGGAAUCAGCCCCGGCUAACUACGCGCCAGCAGCCGC